rnacentral:rRNA from 1 species
UACGAAGGGGGCGAGCGUUGUUCGGAUUUACUGGGCGUAAAGGGCGCGCAGGCGGCUUUGUUUGUCAGGCGUGAAAGCCCCGGGCUUAACCUGGGAACCGCGCUUGAGACUGGCAUGCUCGAGUUCGGGAGAGGAUGGUGGAAUUCCCAGUGUAGAGGUGAAAUUCGUAGAUAUUGGGAAGAACACCGAUGGCGAAGGCAGCCAUCUGGACCGACACUGACGCUGAGGCGCGAAAGCGUGGGGAGCAAACAGG